rnacentral:lncRNA from 1 species
ACUUGCAAAGUCUCGGCUUAGUUCCUGGCACUCUGAGGUCCACCUCCUUCCUGAGGCUGGUGGUUACCGUGCUAAUGAGCUAGGCCGCAGCGGCUAUUAGACAUGGCUGCGUGGGGUGUCCUGCCAGCCCAGCCCCGUCACCACGGGCUGCCUCGAGCAGCUCCCCCAGCACCAGGCACUCCAGAUGCUGAGCAGCAGAGUCUGCCCAUGAAGGAUGGAUGCACUACCCCUGCCUCCAUAUUCAGGGGUCUCAGGCAAGGAGCCCGUCCUCACUACACCACACAUGGAGGGCAUGAGGCUGGACCACACCAGAACGUCCCUCCCCCCGGAGCCUGGAGCUGCAGGUCUUGAUGCGGAGAGGUUUCCAUCUGGGUCUCUCCUCAGGGAUGACAUCAUCCGUCCACCUCCUUGUCUUCAAGGACCACCUCCUCUCCAUGCUGAGCUGCUGCCAAGGGGCCUGCUGCCCAUCUACACCUCACGAGGGCACUAGGAGCACGGUUUCCUGGAUCCCACCAACAUACAAAGCAGCCACUCACUGACCCCCAGGACCAGGAUGGCAAAGGAUGAAGAGGACCGGAACUGACCAGCCAGCUGUCCCUCUUACCUAAAGACUUAAACCAAUGCCCUAGUGA